rnacentral:rRNA from 1 species
CUCUCCCGAAAAGGAGAGGUCACUUCGGGUGGACAAUGCACAGGUGCUGCAUGGCCGUCGUCAGCUCGUGUCGUGAGAUGUUUGGUUAAGUCCAGCAACGAGCGCAACCCCUGUGAACUGUUGCCAGCGCGUAAAGGCGGGGACUCUGUUCAGACUGCCCAGAUCAACUGGGAGGAAGGUGGGGACGACGUCAGGUCAGUAUGGCCCUUACGCCUAGGGCUGCACACGUACUACAAUGCCCAGCACAAUGAGAACCGAUACCGCAAGGUGGAGGAAAUCUGCAAAACUGGGCCCAGUUCGGAUUGGAGGCUGCAACUCGCCUCCAUGAAGUCGGAAUCGCUAGUAAUGCCGUAUCAGCUACGACGGCGUGAAUA